CUGACACCUCAUUUGGUAACCUUUACAGUCAGUCAGCUGUCUAAACAGUUUCUCUCUUAGAGAUUCUUAUAGAUACGUGAGUCAAGAGUAAUAUGCUAACUGGUGAUUAUGGCCUGAAAGAAAUAAUGACAGCAGUCCAAUACAGUGGAAAAGCUGAAAAAAAUAAACAGCUAAAAGUUCCACAUGGAUCAAAGUUAUCAACAUAAAACCAGAAUGAGCAUUUGUAUUGGACAAGGGCUGAACAAGAAUGCCAAUAUCCAUGCUAAAAUGGACAGACGAAAUCCCAGGAGCCUUUAACCUUACACAAAGAACUACCAGCAACAAUGGAAUGCUGAGAGUGGGAGAAACAGUCUUGUGAAUUCUUAAUCAAUUACCCAUUGGGUUUUCUUUAAGAAAUCUAUACUGCUCAGCAUGCAGGAGAAUGCUGCAAGAGCAUACUGGCGACAGGCUGACCUGUGAGUU
rnacentral:lncRNA from 1 species